UACGUAGGUGGCAAGCGUUGUUCGGAAUUAUUGGGCGUAAAGGGCGCGUAGGCGGUUUGUUAAGUCGGCUGUGAAAGCCCGGGGCUCAACCCCGGAGGGUCAGCCGAUACUGGCAGACUAGAGUACGGAAGAGGUAGCUGGAAUUCCCGGUGUAGCGGUGAAAUUCGUAGAUAUCGAGAGGAACACCGGUGGCGAAGGCGGCCUUCUGGACAGCAUCUGACGCUGAGACGCGAAAGCGUGGGGAGCAAACAGG
rnacentral:rRNA from 1 species